rnacentral:rRNA from 1 species
AUACGUAUGUCGCAAGCGUUAUCCGGAAUUAUUGGGCGUAAAGCGAGUCUAGGCGGCUUGUUAAGUCAGAUGUGAAAAUGCGGGGCUCAACUCCGUAUUGCGUUUGAAACUAGCAGGCUAGAGUACUGGAGAGGUGGGCGGAACUACAAGUGUAGAGGUGAAAUUCGUAGAUAUUUGUAGGAAUGCCGAUAGUGAAGACAGCUCACUGGACAGAUACUGACGCUAAAGCUCGAAAGCGUGGGGAGCGAACAGGAUUAGAAACCCGAGUAGUCC